rnacentral:rRNA from 1 species
CGGCACGGGUGAGUAACACGUAUCCAACCUGCCGUCUACUCUUGGACAGCCUUCUGAAAGGAAGAUUAAUACAAGAUGGCAUCAUGAGUUCACAUGUUCACAUGAUUAAAGGUAUUCCGGUAGACGAUGGGGAUGCGUUCCAUUAGAUAGUAGGCGGGGUAACGGCCCACCUAGUCUUCGAUGGAUAGGGGUUCUGAGGGGAAGGUCCCCCACAUUGGAACUGAGACACGGUCCAA